rnacentral:rRNA from 1 species
GACGAACGCUGGCGGCGUGCCUAAUUCAUGCAAGUAGAACGCACAGUUUAUACCGUAGCUUGCUACACCAUAGACUGUGAGUUGCGAACGGGUGAGUAACGCGUAGGUAACCUGCCUGGUAGCGGGGGAUAACUAUUGGAAACGAUAGCUAAUACCGCAUAAUAUUAAUUAUUGCAUGAUAAUUAAUUGAAAGGUGCAAUUGCACCACUACCAGAUGGACCUGCGUUGUAUUAGCUAGUAGGUGAGGUAACGGCUCACCUAGGCGACGAUACAUAGCCGACCUGGGAGGGUGAUCGGCCACACUGGGACUGAGACACGGCCCAGACUCCUACGGGAGGCAGCAGUAGGGAAUCUUCGGCAAUGGACGAAAGUCUGACCGAGCAACGCCGCGUGAGUGAAGAAGGUUUUCGGAUCGUAAAGCUCUGUUGUAAGAGAAGAACGGGUGUGAGAGUGGAAAGUUCACACUGUGACGGUAUCUUACCAGAAAGGGACGGCUAACUACGUG